GACAAACGCUGGCGGCGUACCUAAGACAUGCAAGUCGAACGGUGACUCCGUCUUCGGAUGGAGUGAUAGUGGCGAACGGGUGAGUAACACGUAGGAACCUGCCGCGUCGUGGGGAUACCAGCCGGAAACGGUUGCUAAUACCGCAUGAGGUCCCGCAAGGGAAGAAAGCAGCAAUGCGCGACGUGAGGGGCCUGCGGCCGAUUAGCUAGUUGGGUGGGGUAACGGCGUACCAAGGCGACGACGGUAGCUGGUCUGAGAGGAUGGUCAGCCACACUGGGACUGAGACACGGCCCAGACUCCUACGGGAGGCAGCAGUUAGGUAAAUUUUCCCAAUGGGCGCAAGCCUGAGGGAGUAAC
rnacentral:rRNA from 1 species